rnacentral:rRNA from 1 species
UACGUAGGGCGCAAGCGUUGUCCGGAAUUAUUGGGCGUAAAGAGCUCGUAGGCGGCUUGUCACGUCGGGUGUGAAAGCCCGGGGCUUAACCCCGGGUCUGCAUUCGAUACGGGCUAGCUAGAGUGUGGUAGGGGAGAUCGGAAUUCCUGGUGUAGCGGUGAAAUGCGCAGAUAUCAGGAGGAACACCGAUGGCGAAGGCAGGUCUCUGGGCCACUACUGACGCUGAGAAGCGAAAGCAUGGGGAGCGAACAGGG